AACGAACGCUGGCGGCAUGCCUAACACAUGCAAGUCGAACGAGACCUUCGGGUCUAGUGGCGCACGGGUGCGUAACGCGUGGGAACCUGCCCUUAGGUUCGGAAUAACUCCCCGAAAGGGGUGCUAAUACCGGAUAAUGUCUUCGGACCAAAGAUUUAUCGCGUUUGGAUGGGCCCGCGUUGGAUUAGCUAGUUGGUAGGGUAAAAGCCUACCAAGGCGACGAUCCAUAGCUGGUCGGAGAGGAUGAUCAGCCACACUGGGACUGAGACACGGCCCAGACUCCUACGGGAGGCAGCAGUGGGGAAUAUUGGACACUGGGCGAAAGCCUGAUCCAGCAAUGCCGCGUGAGUGAUGAAGGCCUUAGGGUUGUAAAGCUCUUUUACCCGGGAUGAUAAUGACAGUACCGGGAGAAUAAGCACCGGCUAACUCCGUG
rnacentral:rRNA from 1 species